AGGACACAAAGAUCUGUCACUGCCCCUGAACUCCACUGCACCAGUGGCCAGAUUUAAUCCUGACUUCACUUGCCUGGUGACUGCGUCACAUCUCCAUGGUAAAUGUGUCUUGAUGAUCUUCUCUGAGCCAGUCAGCUCCUGACUGUGACCUUGGCUUGUGAACAGAUCAGGGCCACCUCUGAUGUGGCAAAUUUGAGGAUGCAGUUAAAGUCUUUUGACCAGGUAAGGGCACUUGGGAUGCCUAAGGUGGAUGUCUAUUGCAAUUCACUGUGUGGACUUCAGUCUUCAGCUCUGUUUCAGGGUGGGCUGCACCCAGGGUAUUUUUUGAAUCCUAGAAUCAUAUAAUGGUUUAGGUUGGAUGAGAGUUCAAAGAUCAUCUAAUCCAACCUCAGUUGCAUGUGCAGGGAUGCCUUCCACUGGAAGGUGGAGGACAGGGAAAGGACAGACAAUCUCUGGAGAUGUCUAUCAGAAGUGUUUUCUUUGCAGGUGCAGAAGCAGAUCUGCACAGUGCGAUAACAAAAUUUCCUGAUAUAUUAGGUGAGAGCUUGCAACACAGCAUGAUGGGGAAAAGAAUCCCUUUAAAUUAUGAUAGCUGCAAAAAUUUUCCUAGCUGCAAGUCUGUCCAGUGACAACAUGCCCUUCACACAUCUUUUAUGAGGAAGUGCAUCUUCAAUAUUUACUUGUACCUUCUGAUAAGGGAGAGGGGCAAGUGGAACUGUCAUUAAGGCAUCUUGGUUCAGUGGCUGGGGAACAAGGUGAGGGCUCAGGCCUGCACCUGAUUCCCUGCUGUGUCAUGUGUUUUUUUCCUUUGUCUGCAUCUUCCCAUCCCACAGGGGUCUGCAGCAUCUUCCUCAGACAUGAUGAAGCAGGAGCCAUUGAAGCACCAAAAAUAAGCAAUUCCCUCAGCUCAGGCUCUUUACUUUAGAAAAGCUGCUUCCAUCCCUUGUGGCAGUUUGUCAGAAUUAGAAUCAAGUGACCUUAAAUGUGUUUAUCUUUUCAUUAUGCAAUUAGCAGCAUUGCAAUGUCCUGUGAUUUCUUUUUUGUGACUUAAGCCUCUUAAGUGAAUUGCAGAGCUGUCCUAGAAAUAGACACAAUAGGGACUUGAGAAUAGUAAUAAUUACAAACCUCCUGAGUUUUCCUGUCUCCCAAGUUAAUGUUUUAAUUAGCUAUUGGUACUUAAUUCACUCCCAGAGGCAGUUCAUUUAAACCAUUGCAAAAUCAUUUUUAAGGUUAUUUCAGUUUUUGAAUCAGAAUAUGAAAUCAGUGCUUAAAAUAUCUAGCAAGUUCAUGCUUUUCUUUCACAUUUAUACAAUGAAUUUCACAGGGAGAAGGAAGAGAAAGAUGAUUUUCAUUUUAUCCACAGUUUUUCAGUGCAUCACCAAAUAAAUCCAGUGCUUAACAGCCCCACCUCCUGGUGAAAAAGCAAUGAGAAAAAUAUUUUACUGGCAAUGUUUUCUGAUGUAGCUUACAUAAUGGAAAUGCUUUUGUUUUUUAUUUUGCAUGACAGCUCUGGAGUAUAUUUAGAGCUUUUUUCUUUUUUUUUUUUGUAUGCAUUGCCUCUUUUUUUCUCUCACAUCACAGGGAUAUUAUACUCUAAUUACUGUUUUUCUCCUUAAUGUCUCCUUUAAAAUAGAUGAAAAGUACACUCUCUGACUUUUAUGCCUCUCCAUAGACAAAUCCAAAGCUAGAAAUCAGGAAAAACCAAUAGGAUCUGGGAACUUCUGAAGCUGUUCUUGAGUGCAAUGUCUUCAGGAGAUAAAGCAUGAGACCACAAGGAAUCCCAAGAUGGUGUAAAUCUUGGACAAUAAAUAAUUUUAUGUCAGGAAACCAUUAUCCAGUAGCAUAGAUGAGCCUGCACUUGCCCUGAGGAAGGAUACUUCCCAUGUGAAUCUUUCCUUAGUUUUUUUUUUUUUUUUUUUUUCACAGUAAUCUCCUAAUAUUUUAUUCUGAUACCUUUUAUCCUCUUUCACCGAUUCCUUGCCUCCAGAAGUGGACUUAUAAAAUUUCUAUAAACCUAAAAUAGUUCACAGCAAGAAGAGGACUGCCAGCAUCUGGGAGAUGAAAACAGCCGACAUUCAAUACUUGGAAGCAUCAUGAGGACAAUGAAAAGGAAAUUCUUGCCCAUUCUUUUCUAAAAAGAGAAGACUAACCAGGAAGACUCCCUGUGAAUAAGUGCUUGUUGCAGACAUUCUUUUAUUGAGAACACAAAUUCCACAAAAUUUAUAAGGAAAAAUGGAGUAUGAAUAAAUGCCUCAAAAUAAUUGCUUUAAAAACUCACUUAAAUAUUUGAAUGGGUGAAUUAAACUUGAAUAGACUUUCUGUAUGAUGAAAAGAAAGGGCAUGAUAUCUUCUUCUGUGCAGCAGAAUGUAUUCUCUCAAAAACAGAAAACAGUUUCUUUUUGAAUUUUCAGAGUCUGUCCAGAAGCCCUUACAUUCCUUUAGACACAAACACUUCCCUACAAAACAUAUGAUAUUUUUCUUGCAUUUUUGAUGCUGCACAUCUUGGAUUUGAAGGAUACUAAUGUUGGUAUGAUAAUUGUGGUUCAAGUAAAACAUGAAUUAUUUGAAUCAGCUCUCCAGUCUUCUGCUGAUAUCAUGCUCAAAUAUUAUGAUACAGAGCUUAGAAAAUAAGUAGACAGAUGAGCAAACUGGAAUCAGACAGAGAUUUCUUAGCUAGCACUGAUGAUAAGAGCAGCAUCCACCAUGACAAGAACUAAAUCUAGAAGUGAGAGUAUUGGUAUUUCCAUCAGUAAUUAGCCACUUCUGAGUCUUUCAAGUACCUUGAAGCACCUGAAAGCUGUAAGAGAUAUUUACCUGUGAUAUUUAUUCUGCAGUGCUAGUUGUUCCCUGCUGGAGAGUGAUAUUAUUUCUUGAAAACUUGUGCCUU
rnacentral:lncRNA from 1 species